rnacentral:rRNA from 1 species
CCCCACCGAUAAAAAUGACCGGCAACACGACGGAGCGAUCAAAAUACCGAGGUUUCCAACGUCGUACCCCCCACUAACGCUCGGGCGAGAGGAGGGGCGGUACAAACAACACCAUUGAACAUCGUAUUCCAAACCGGUUCCGUUUUCCACGAAGGCAACACCGAAGCCUAGCGUCAUUCAACGCACAGGCGUGAAAAAGACGUGGCGCUCGUCAGUUGGCCGCAACGAAGCGGGGAGCCUGAAGUAGCGCACACAUCAACAACCACUCACAUGCCGUCACGGUCACAACCCAGCAAAACCCUCCGCCUCUCCCCCAAAGGUUGAGAAU